GUUUAAUGGCUUCUGUGAUGCAGUUUCUUCCUGUUCCGGAUUGUUUGAGCUCCAUAUAUAGGAGGUACCAUCAUCAUUUCAGAGACAUCAGUAUAAUAAGCCCAACGGGAGAAUGAUAUGGCAAUUUCUAAAUUUCCUAGAAGGAUCGCUCAGGAGGAUGGGCUUGAGCAGGCUGCCUUCCAUGUCACACCACCACUGGGCACAUUUUGUUUUUUGGCAACUGCCCCAACAGGAUUUUUUGUUCAUUCUGAAAAUCACAUCGCCAGAUCCAACACCUUUUUAUCCCAAUCACCAGUACAAGCCACCCGUAUCAGUGUACACUGUGGCUGACCGAUCCAUAGUGAUGCUUUGAGCACAAGGAAGGACUUUCUGGAAUCUACUUAUCUGACCAAGAAAGCUUCUUUCCAAAAGAAAUGCAAUUGUCUUGAGACUUCUUCCCUAGGGAUCUGAUCAACUAACCAGAAAAGAGCAACCACCAGAGAAGAGACUGUAGUCGUACAGUGUCCAGAAGGCAAAAGGACAAGUAUGCACUGCCCUACUUACCUACUUUCCACACUGCUGCACAGGAAAAUCUGACAGAGGACAAUAACAAACAUCUCACCAGCUCAUGCGUUCUUUUUUGAUCCUAAUUCCGAGAGACUCACCAAAGACAUGAAGAGAAAACAAACAAUACUUUUCUUGGAAAUAUUGUAAUUGCUGGUACAUUUGUUGUUCUGGCAUAAAGUAGAAAUUGUCAGGUAAACAUUGCUUCCUUUUGGAUCAAAAAGAAAUUUAACCAAAUAAAUGCAAGAGGUAUGAGGGAAGAUAAUGGGAAAUAAAUGAGAUUUGAGAAAUCAGUGGAGGUUCAAGUGGUUUUUUUUUUCUUUUGUAGUUGAUAAUACUCUGUUUUAAAUCAGUGAGUUUUACUUAUAUAUGCUUGUCCUUUUUUUUUUCUAGUUACCAGAACAAUACUCAGUGAACUUAUGAAUAUAUGGUAAAUAUUAAACACAUCCCACUUGGAUGAGAAGAUAUGUGAGUCGAUGAGUAUAGCUAAGUCUAAAGUUAGAUGUGUUCCAUAAACAUAGUGUUUAUGGAGUUGGUGCAUAUUCACUUCUCAGUAAG
rnacentral:lncRNA from 1 species